rnacentral:rRNA from 1 species
ACUCCUACGGGAGGCAGCAGUGGGGAAUAUUGCACAAUGGGCGCAAGCCUGAUGCAGCCAUGCCGCGUGUAUGAAGAAGGCCUUCGGGUUGUAAAGUACUUUUCAGCAGUGAGGAAGGUGGGUAUGUUAAUAGCAUAUUCAUUUGACGUUAGCUGCAGAAGAAGCACCGGCUAACUCCGUGCCAGCAGCCGCGGUAAUACGGAGGGUGCGAGCGUUAAUCGGAAUUACUGGGCGUAAAGCGCAUGCAGGUGGUUUGUUAAGUCAGAUGUGAAAGCCCGGGGCUCAACCUCGGAAUUGCAUUUGAAACUGGCAAACUAGAGUACUGUAGAGGGGGGUAGAAUUUCAGGUGUAGCGGUGAAAUGCGUAGAGAUCUGAAGGAAUACCGGUGGCGAAGGCGGCCCCCUGGACAGAUACUGACACUCAGAUGCGAAAGCGUGGGGAGCAAACAGGAUUAGAUACCCUGGUCGGAUCUGC